UACGGAGGGUGCAAGCGUUAUCCGGAUUCACUGGGUUUAAAGGGUGCGUAGGUGGGUUGGUAAGUCAGUGGUGAAAUCCCCGAGCUUAACUUGGGAACUGCCAUUGAUACUAUUAAUCUUGAAUACCGUGGAGGUUAGCGGAAUAUGUCAUGUAGCGGUGAAAUGCUUAGAUAUGACAUAGAACACCAAUUGCGAAGGCAGCUAGCUACAGGGGUAUUGACACUGAGGCACGAAAGCGUGGGGAUCAAACAGG
rnacentral:rRNA from 1 species